rnacentral:rRNA from 1 species
AUUUUAAAAAUAGUUUACUUCAAUGUAAUAUAAAUUAAGAUAAAGUUAUUUUCUUACCUUUUGCAUAAUGGUGUCACUAUAAGUCUCCUAUAUUUUAAUUUCCCGAAAAAGAAAGAUCUAUUUAGUAAAGUGCUAUUAGGAAAUAACAUACUGUUGAAAAAUUAAUAUAUAGUACUAAUUAGGAGCGAAACACUCACAAUUUCUUAGAUAUCUGGAUAAAAUUAAAAUAUAUAAAGUAUAUAGAACAUUUAAUAAGUGAUAAGAUUUAUUAAACCUAGAGUAUAAAAUUAAAAUAUAAAAUUCUAAGAAAAUAUCUAAAAAAUUUUAAAUAUAACAACAUAACUUUUUCCCUAACCUUCUGAAAUAAAUUUACAUGUCUUUAUACUACACUAAGCUAUAAUUAAUGUUAUAAUAAGUAUAUUAAUCAGAAUUUAUAAGUAAGUAACUCGGCAAAAAUUUUUACCAACUGUUUAUCAAAAACAUUGCUUUUAGAUAUAAUUAAAAGUAAAACCUGCCCAAUGAGAUCUUAUUUCUUUAAUGGCCGCAGUACUUUGACUGUGCUAAGGUAGCAUAAUAAUUUGGCUUUUAAUUAAAGUCGGGAAUGAAAGGGAUAAUGGUAAUAAACUGUCUCAUAGUUAACUUUAUAAAAAUUAUUUUUAAAGGUGAAAAUACCUUUAGUAUUUUAAAUUAGACGAGAAGACCCUAUGAAUUAUUACUAAUGUAAGAAUUACUUAUUAAGUUUUUGUUGGGGCAACAAAGUUAAAAUACUCCAUCUUUAACUAACUUAAUUUAAUAGUAUUUUGGAAGGUACUUCAUAGAAUAAUAUAAAUUACCAUAGGGAUAACAGCAUAAUUAUUUUAAUAGAUUAUGACCUCGAUGUUGGAUUAGGGACAUUAAUUAUUAGCCAUUAUUAAUGAUAGUUCUGUUCGAACUUAUAACCUUACAUGAUCUGAGUUCAGACCGGCGUAAGCCAGGUCAGUUUCUAUCUAUUUGCUUUAGUAUAUUAGUACGAAAGGAUUGUAUACUAUUAUUU